AAGGAAGGGAACCCUGGAAAACGCACGCAAGAGGCUUCAGUGUUUGCAUUAUAAUAUAAGGAGACUGCAUUGUUUGAAAAAGAGAGCAAACUGAAUACAGCAUUCUUCCCACCCCCAAUUAAUUGUAUUGCCAUCUAAUACUAUGUGGGAAGGAUCCUGCCAUCAUCCUAAUCCAUACUCCAAUCAAGUCCUUGCCAGAAAUUAUGCAAUGUAUCCCAAAGUUCUGUUCUAAGAGGAUCAAAAGAGAAAAAAUGUACCUGUUGAUAUACCAGAAUUCUCAGACAUUUACUAAAGGCAAAAGUGAAGGCCUCUGCUUGAAUUUUAAAGGAUUUUGGCAGUAUUUCAUAGUGCCUGAAGAACAUCUGCAACAGGGGAUUUAAAAACAUGAGUCCCAGUUCAUUGGGCCCAGAUGCUGUCAAAUGUAUUUUGGCUGAAAUAUUCAUAUGAACUUCCAUUGGGCACAAGCUGUGAAGGAAAUUACCACUGUUUACAGCCAAGAAGAUUUCUAUACAAAAGGAAUAAUCAUGGAAGAACCCAGAGGAGAAAGCCUGGAGGGAACACAACUGUUCAUUACCAUAAGUAAUUAACCCUGGCUGAGCUUGAUAGCGUAAGAGCCAAUGACACUGGGGCAGCCUGCCGCUAGGGGUAGUGACCAUGCAAUGCCUGCAGGUAAUUGGCAAUGAGUUUCUCCUCAUGAUGAUUACUUGCUUAAGUCUAUGUAUUUCAACAGGUACAUGCUUUGUAGAGAAUGAGGGUUGCUUCAGCUUGAGUACCUGGGAGCCUUUAAUUAAUACCUUAAGAAUCUGUGAUGAGGUAAAUAUCAGGCAAGUUUAAUGAGAGCACCCAGCUGUGUUGGAAGGCUUUCUAGAACAACUUAAAUAUCUUGUUCCUCCUCAGCACACUUCACAUCCUCCUCAGGCGAUUUCAACUUUGCAUGAUACCAAGGCUUUGCUAAGUUUUAUUUUCUACAUGGGUUCUAUAAAGUGUGGUUAACCUUGGUAGUGUCCAAGCCCCUUAUUCCUGUUUUCACAUAGGAGUUCUAUGUGAGAGAUCAGGGGUCUUCUGUUCACAGAGUUUGAGCCAUUUGUGCUGAGAACUGGUAGAGGUUCUCAGAGGGCAUCAUCAUCCCAGAGCAACUUAGGGCACUCGCUUCUCAUGUUGAGAAGGAGAGAGCGAUUGUUUUGGUGC